rnacentral:rRNA from 1 species
UCUUCUUCUGCGGCGCGUCUGAGUGGAUUUUAGUAUCAAACGAAUCAAAACUUUCAACAACGGAUCUCUUGGCUCUGGCAUCGAUGAAGAACGCAGCGAAAUGCGAUAAGUAAUGUGAAUUGCAGAAUUCAGUGAAUCAUCGAAUCUUUGAACGCACAUUGCGCCCGCCAGCACUCUGGCGGGCAUGCC